GUCCCCUUCGUCUAGAGGCCUAGGACGUCGCCCUCUCACGGCGGCAACACGGGUUCGAAUCCCGUAGGGGACGCCA
rnacentral:tRNA from 10 species